rnacentral:rRNA from 1 species
GAUGAACGCUGGCGGCGUGCCUAAUACAUGCAAGUCGAGCGAAUGGAUUAAGAGCUUGCUCUUAUGAAGUUAGCGGCGGACGGGUGAGUAACACGUGGGCAACCUGCCCAUAAGACUAGGAUAACUCCGGGAAACCGGGGCUAAUACCGGAUAACAUUUUGAACCGCAUGGUUCGAAAUUGAAAGGCGGCUUCGGCUGUCACUUAUGGAUGGACCCGCGUCGCAUUAGCUAGUUGGUGAGGUAACGGCUCACCAAGGCAACGAUGCGUAGCCGACCUGAGAGGGUGAUCGGCCACACUGGGACUGAGACACGGCCCAGACUCCUACGGGAGGCAGCAGUAGGGAAUCUUCCGCAAUGGACGAAAGUCUGACGGAGCAACGCCGCGUGAGUGAUGAAGGCUUUCGGGUCGUAAAACUCUAUUGUUAGGGAAGAACAAGUGCUAGUUGAAUAAGCUGGCACCUUGACGGUACCUAACCAGAAAGCCACGGCUAACUACGUGCCAGCCGCCGCGGUAA